UACAGAGGGUGCUAGCGUUGUUCGGAAUCAUUGGGCGUAAAGGGCGUGUAGGCGGUUUGUUAAGUCAUGUGUGAAAUCCCUCGGCUCAACCGGGGAACGACGCAUGAAACUGGCAAGCUAGAGUACCAAAGAGGGGGGGUGGAAUUCCCGGUGUAGCGGUGAAAUGCGUAGAUAUCGGCAGGAACACCCGUGGCGCAAGCGGCCACCUAGCCCGUUGCUGACGCUGAGGCGCGACAGCGUGGGGAGCGAACUGG
rnacentral:rRNA from 1 species